AUAUUAGAGUUCUUCCAGGAAUUACUAAAAAUAAAAUUACUAUCUUUGGGAAGCAUAAAACUAAAGUCUAGGUAAGAGAAAGACAUGAUAUAAAGUUGAGCUGCUGUUUAUCUUGUUCCUACUACACUAAGUUCUGGAGAUUUAUUUUGAAAACUUACAAAGCACAUGAUGAGUUCCUAGCAUAACAAACUACCUACCACAGCCAUACUUGCUAUAACAUCUUUUACUAUAUUCACAUUGAGUUUGAUCGAGCUGUGUAGACCCUUAGGAGCUUUUCAUGUGAUUAAAUUAAGAUAUUCACUUGCACGCAUCUACCACAGCAUCCACCACCAUUCAUUAAAAUUGCUAAAAAAUAUUAUCACUCACUGUCCCAAGUACUGUUAUUCUCUCUCUCUAAAAAGAUUCAAAGCAGAAGAGGCAUGGGUUAUGCAAAAAUAUAUAUACGAGGAAAUAAAAAGGGGCAAGUGCCCGGGAACCUCGAAAAAGAAAGAAAAAGAGUGAGACGAGAGGUAAAAAUGGACAAGUGUCCGAAGUAGAAUUAGGGGUACAAAGAUGCCCACUUGAGCGGAAAAAAUGGACAAGUGUCCGACAGUAGAAUUAGGGGUAUCUACUACCCACCUGAAAAAAAAGAGAAGAGAAAAAGAUAGCCCAUGUUCUCCCAAAGCAAAGAUCAAAGAGGAGGAGAGAUAGCAAUAUGAGGAGCAAUGAGAACUAAGAUUUAUUAUCACUUAUGCAUUUUCACCAUCACUAUCAUUUACUCCACCAUACAUGCACAUCUUGAUUUAAUUAUAUGCUGAGUUCCUUUGGAUCCAUGGCUCGAUUAGACAACAUAUGUAUGAGCUGUUUUUCACUCCUAUGAGCUCCACUUAAAUAUUUCAUUAGCUAUAGGUAAGUGAUAUCAUGGUAAGGAUCCACAAAUACCACAUAUAGAGAGACUUGAGAGAAUCAUUGCUAGGAACUCUGAGUUUUAUUUUGAAAACUUAUGAAAAACUCUAGAAUAAAGGUGAAGUAUAGACAGGAGGAAUAGUGCUUGACUUAAUUAUUUUGUCUUUCGAUUACUUAAGACUUAAGUGCAGGUACUAAACUUCAUAACACUUCACUCUAAUCUGGAAGAAUUUUUAUGUAAAAGCAUGUGUGCCUGUCAGGAAAGUAAACAUCGAAGCAACUCCUGAUCCGUCUGAGUUUAGCUUUUUGCUCAGGGACGAGCAAAGGGUAAGCUUGGGGGAGUUUGUUGACGGUCCUUAAGUACUAAAAUUAAUAGUCAAAUAAACAUGAAAAAGGAUCAAUAUGAAACAAACAUCUAGAAUAGGGGUUUUAUCUGACAGAAUUCCACGAGCUUUGGUGUUUAUCUAUUUCUGCAGGGGUUUAUCAGAAAAAUAUGGAGAGAAGGCCCACAUGUCAUGUUUACAACGAGAUAAUUACGUGCCGCGCAAUUUUCCUUGAUCUAGAAGGAUCCAGAAGCCACG
rnacentral:lncRNA from 1 species